GGCAAGGACUCUCCCCUCACGAAGUCAUAUGAGCAAGCAGAUGUUCACCACACAUGGGGAUCAUGAGUGUGAUGAAAUUAUUUACAAAGUGAGAUUGAAACUGCAGGGCAGAGCACAGAAUCUGCAAGCAGGUGUGGGCAGGUUCUGGGAAGAUGAGUGGGAGCUCGCCAGAGCACAGAGAUGGGAGGCAUCCAGGCAAAAGAACACCAUGUGCAGAGGUAAAGAUCCAUGAACUGGUCAUGUCCAUACAAAGAAUGCUCAGACCAAUUCACUCAUCCAGCUACAGACGUCUCUAGACUAGCACUUCCCAGCCCCCACCCAAGCUGAGGCCUGACUCUGUGAAAUUAGACCUGCAGAAGCAGAACACAGCCUCCUUCGUUCCAGACAGAGAGAGGGAAGGAGGGUCUGUGGACCUCGGUCCUGCUCCCAAGGUCACCACAUCCACUCCGUCCUGCCAGGAGAGAAGAGAAGGAGCGGACAGAAAGGCCAGGAGGUCACCCUCCCAGCCCCACCGAGGCAAGGAGGCGUAGGCGUGGCCCUCACGUCGGGCACUCUGCUCCUGGGCCAUCUGGCCUGAGCCUCCCGGCAGCGCUGUGCGCUUGGGACUAGCUCAUCCGCGAGUUACAGGCCCGGCUGGUUUUCCCUCACACUGGCACCUUCUGGAGGGGGAUCCGGUUACCGCGCCCUCGGAGCAGAGUGAAUGUUUAACCAGCCCGAGCUGAGUGCCAGCCACCAGCAGCUCCCGGCGGUGCACAGAGCCUUAAAGACCUCACCUGGGUGGAGCCUUCACAGCGGACAGGGGACACAGGGGACCCUUGGCCAGCUCCGGGGUAUGUGGUGGCUCUGCUCCAUCUGCAUUACUGCUCUUGAGUAUUGUAAAAUUUGUCCACAGUAUAUAUAAAUAAAUAUGGAAGCUUUCCUGAUGACAAGCCACAUUCUACAUUUUGUAUAAGCUUCGUGGCCUCUUAAUCAUCUAGCAUUGUUCAAAACUAUGUAUGUGCAUCUAAACUAGGAUAUAUACCUUUUUAAAAAUUUUUUAUUAAGGUAUGAUUGAUAUACACUCUUACAAAGGUUUCACAUGAAAAAACAAUGUGGUUACUACAUUCACCCACAUUAUCAAGUCCCCACCCACACCCCAAUGCAGUCACUGUCCAUCAGUGCAGCAAGUUGCCAGAGAUCCACUAUGUCCCUUCU